rnacentral:misc_RNA from 1 species
CAACCCUCGAACCCCUCCGGGGGGUCGGCGUUGGGGAUCGGCCCUGCCUUUUGGCGGUGGCCGUCUCCGAAAUACAGUGGCGGUCUCGCCGCAGCCUCUCCUGCGCAGUAGUUUGCACACUCGCAUCGGGAGCGCGGCGCGUCCACAGCCGUUAAACACCCAACUUCUGAAA